GAUGAACGCUGGCGGCGUGCCUAACACAUGCAAGUCGAACGGAAAGGCCCUGCUUUUGUGGGGUGCUCGUGUGGCGAGGGGGUGAGUAACACGUGAGUAUCCUGUCCUUGUCUUUGGGAUAACUUCAGGGAAAUGGGGCUAUUAUCGGAUAGGAGCUCUUGAUGCGCGGGGGGGGUUGGAAAGUUUCGGCGGUUGGGGCUGGACUCGCGGCUUACGAGCUUGUUGGUGGGGUAGUGGCAUACCAAGCUUUCGACGGGUAGGCGGCCUGAGAGAGUGACCGGCGUCCAUAGUACUAAGAGACGGCCCAGUCUGCUACGUGAGGCAACAGUGGAGAGUAUUACACAAUGAGCGCAAGUCUGAUACAACAGCGCCGCGUGCGUAAAGACGUCCUUCUGGUUAUAAACCGCUGCCGCCUGUGACGAAGCGGGAGUGACGGUAAUGGAUAAAAAAGCACCGGCUAACUACGUG
rnacentral:rRNA from 1 species